AUUGAACGCUGGCGGCAUGCCUUACACAUGCAAGUCGAACGGUAACAGGUUAAGCUGACGAGUGGCGAACGGGUGAGUAAUGUACCGGAACGUGCCCAGUCGUGGGGGAUAACUGCUCGAAAGAGCAGCUAAUACCGCAUACGACCUGAGGGUGAAAGCGGGGGAUCGCAAGACCUCGCGCGAUUGGAGCGGCCGAUAUCAGAUUAGGUAGUUGGUGAGGUAAAGGCUCACCAAGCCGACGAUCUGUAGCUGGUCUGAGAGGACGACCAGCCACACUGGGACUGAGACACGGCCCAGACUCCUACGGGAGGCAGCAGUGGGGAAUUUUGGACAAAGGGCGCAAGCCUGAUCCAGCCAUGCCGCGUGCGGGAAGAAGGCCUUCGGGUUGUAAACCGCUUUUGUCAGGGAAGAAAAGGUUCUGGCUAAUACCUGGGACUCAUGACGGUACCUGAAGAAUAAGCACCGGCUAACUACGUG
rnacentral:rRNA from 1 species